rnacentral:lncRNA from 1 species
CUUGUAUUAUAAGACUAUUGGACAUUAGACUUAAGUUCCUGAAAAAUAUAUCCUUGCUUUCCCUGUGAGAGAAUUAAAUAGGAUUUUUAGAAAUGAUUCUGUGAAGAAAGACUUCAGAUAUUGGCAAAUGAUGUUUUAAAACACUGUGGUUGUGACUAAAAAGAUAAAGGCUGUGUCUAUAUGACACCAAACAUCUGGAUAAAAAAAGGAAAAAUAGUACUAAAAAACCCCCAUGUUUUGUUUACUUGACACUUACACAUCUGGAAAUUUAAAAACAUCUGGGUUUUUAACUCAUCCCCCCUUCCUGGGUUUCAUCUGGGUGUAUAGAAAGGUGAAAAAAGAAACUCAGUACCAUUAUUAUGAAAUUAGAUAAAAUUAUUGCAUUCAACUAAUCUGAAAACACUAAUUAUUUUAUUUAACAUAAUAUAUAAUGAAUAAAAUUCUACAUCAUGCAAGUAGAUAAAAAAAGAUGCAAUUAGGUGAUUUAAGGAAAAAACUUGGCUUAAAGCAUAUGUAAAUCUUGAUUAUAGUUUAGACAUUUAUUUGAGCAAAAAUCUUUUUAGGUCCUGAGACAACCAUUUUCUCUCUUAGGGAAUAGGUUCCCCAUGUUUUUUUGAGGCUCUGUGUUUUGACAAUAGUAAAAUUUAGUAAACACUUAGUAACAUAUGAGUUACAUCUAGUAAUAGACGUUUCCUUUGCCAAAUGAAUUAUCCAAGCUGAUAAAAUCAGUGUAAACCCACUCUCGGCAGCCUUCUGACAUGCCCAGGAAUGAACCCCAAAGAGAAAUCACAUGAAACUGAACUUCAAAGACUUUGUAGCAGUGAAAAGCACCUUAUGUGAUUGACAUUGUGUGUGUGUGUGUGUGUAUGUGUGUGUGAUCUCAUCUAAAAAGUUAUCAUAAUUAUUGAACAUUUCCUCUGUAGCCUGUUCUCAAUCCAAUCAGUUAUAAUGAAAAUAGUCUGCUUGCUUUUUAUAGUCUCAAGUUUUCAAAAUGAUUAGUGCUUCCUUGAGAUAUCCCAUUAAUUGGACACACAACCCAGAUGAAAAGGCUGAAGCCCAAGAGUAUAUGAAAAAACAUAAGGUUGUUGCAAUUUAAGUGCCUUCAAAAGAUCUAAUUUGAUUUUUAAAAGCAAUUCUGCAGAUGUGAAAAUUAAAGGCACGCAGAAACAAGAUAUGGUUUAAUGACUGUGUAGGUUAAGAAACAUUUAAAGGUUUUAGUAGCCUUACACCAAAAAAGAAAUUUUUUUAUUUAGCUGUUAGCUUGAAAUGAUUUGAUCCACAACACAAUAGAAAUUGCUGGAUUUUAUGGGCCACUAUUUCCUUUAUUGAAUGCUCCAUUCUUCUCCAAUGUGUUUCUGAAGCAAGUUGAUAUUUCUGUCUGCAGAUUUUCAAUCCCAGUCCCCGUCAAUCUGAUUUCAAAUUCUAAUAAAGUAAGUCUCUCCACUUGGUUUGUCUUACUGUUUCAUCUAUGAGCCCAUCCCCCAUCUCCCCCCACCCCCACAAAUUGUGCAUUUAUUCCCACUUAAAAAAAAGAAAGAAAAAUUUUAAAAAGCCCUUUGCAUUGGCUCUAAUGACAUCUUCAGUCAUUAAUGAGUUAAUAAAAAUCUCAAAAUCAUCUGGGCUAGAUAAGGAGGAAGAAAGAAAAGUAUUGUGCUGUAAUGACAGGCUCGGCUGCCCUCUGAGAUGUCAUGGGUCAGUCAUGUUAAGAAUGUGUGCGUCCAAUCAUCUGCUGAUUUUUAUCAGCAAGCCCUCCAGCAGGAGCCGACAAGAGCCAGUUUGGGAGUCACAAUGAAUAAACAAUGGCUUUUUGGAUUGUUGGGGGCUGUGUAAUAGAGUGAGGGGUUUAUAUAUACUAAAACAUGAUGACAUUAGCAAUCAAUAUACCAAUUACUGGACAAGUUAUUGCAUGAGGCAUUCACGUGUCUUCAGACAUCUAGUGGGGAGAGUCCUGGUGCACAGAGGCAGACAAGGGUCUAAGACCUGAGGUCCUGAUCUAAAAGCCAAGCCCAGCUUCUCUGUCUGAAGGACCUCAGACCUGAAUGAUCUGAAUCACUUAAGGAAUCUAUUAAAAACACAGAUUCCCGAAUCUCCUUCCUAGCGAUUUCAUCCCAGGAGUCUGGGAGUAGGGCUGCUAGGGCUUGGUGAUUUUCACAAAGGCUCCAGGUAAUGCUGAUCAGGCAGGUGAGAGAACUGCUAUACAGUUGUGAUUGCCAGCCCAGCAGCCUCAGUAUCAGCUAGGAGCUUGUGAGAAAUGCAAAUGCUCAGGCCCUUCCCCAA